rnacentral:rRNA from 1 species
GACGAACGCUGGCGGCGUGCUUAACACAUGCAAGUCGAACGGAAAGUCCCGGCUUUGUGGGGGUGCUCUGGGGGCGAACGGGGAAGUAACACGUUAGUAACGUGCCCUUGACUUUAGGGUAACUUCAUGAAACUGGGUGUAGUACCAGAUAGGAGCUCCUGCUGCAUGGUGGGGGUGGGAAAGUUUCGGCGGUUGGGGAUGGACUCGCGGCUUAUCAGGUUGUUGGCGAGGUAGUGGAUUACCAAGGCUUGGACGGGUGGCCGGACUGAGCGGGUGACCGGACAAACUGGGACUGAGAUAAGGCCCAGCCCACUCCGGGAGGCAGCAGAGCAGUAUAGUGUACAAUGGGAGGAAGCCUGAUCCAGCACAGCCACGUGCGGGAAGUCGGCAUUCGGGUUGGAAACCGAUUUCGCCUGUCACGAAGUGUGAGUGACGGUAAUGGGUAAAGAAGCACCGGCUAACUACGUG